rnacentral:rRNA from 1 species
UACGUAGGGGGCAAGCGUUGUCCGGAUUUAUUGGGCGUAAAGAGCGUGUAGGCGGCCAUGCAGGUCCGUUGUGAAAACUCGAGGCUCAACCUCGAGACGCCGGUGGAAACCGUGUGGCUAGAGUCCGGAAGAGGCGAGUGGAAUUCCUGGUGUAGCGGUGAAAUGCGCAGAUAUCAGGAGGAACACCAAUGGCGAAGGCAGCUCGCUGGGACGGUACUGACGCUGAGACGCGAAAGCGUGGGGAGCAAACAGG